UCUCGUUCUGUGAAAAGUGCCAUUCGUAAUUUGAUAGGAAUAGCACUGACUCUGUAGAUUGCUUUGGGUGGUGUACACGUUUGUCUUUGACUUCUUUCAUCAGUAUCUUACAAGUUUUCUGCAUACAGGUCUUUUGCCUCCUUUUUUCAGUUGCUCAGUGGUAUCUGACCCCAUGUAGAUUUAUUCCUGGGUAUUUUGUUCUUUUUGUUGCAGUGGUAAAUUAGAUGCUUUCCUUAAUUUCUCCUCCUUUUCUUCUGUUUGUAUAUAGGAAUGGUGCUGGUACAAAAGCAAACACACACACACCGAACAGUGCAGAAAGCCCAGAGAUAAACCCUGCACCUAUAGUCAGCUAUGUGUGAUACCUCCUACAAUAAUGAAAACAACAAGUGGGACCUAAUGAAACUCAGCUUUUGCACAGCCAAAGGAAACUAUAAACAAGGUGAAAAGACAACCCUCAGAAUGGGAGAAAAGAAUGGGAGAAAAUAAUAGCAAAUCAAAUAAAUGACAGGAUUAAUCUCCAAAAUACACAAAGCAGCUCAUGCAGCUCAAUAUCAGAAAAAUAACCCAAUCAAGAAGUGGGCAAAAGACCUAAACAAGACAUACAGAUGGCGAAUAAACAAUGAAUACUGAGCAUCUUCUCAUGUAUUCAGUGCACAUCAAAACUAGUGAAGUAUAUCACCUACACCAGUCAGAACGGCCAUCAUCAGAAAACCUACAAACAAAUGCUGGAGAGAAUGUGCAGAAAAGAGAGCCCUCUUGCAGCCUUCGUGGGAAUGCAAACUGAUAACAGCCACUGUGGAGAUUCCUUAAAAAAACUAGGGAUAAAACUACCAUAUGGACAGCACAAUCCCACUACUGGGCAUCUACCCCUGAGAAAAACCAUAACUGAAAAAGUCACAUGUGCCCCAGUGUUCACUGCAGCACUAUUUAAAAUAGCCAGGACAUGGAAGCAACCUGGAUGUCCAUCAACAAAUGAACACAUAAAGAGAUUGUGGUACAUAUAUGUAUUAUGGAAUAUUACUCAGUUCUAAAAAAGAAUGAAGUUGGGUUAUUUGUAGAGAUGUGGACAGAUCUAGAGUCUCAUACAGAGUGAAGUAAGAGAAAAAUAAUGCUUACAUGUGCAAUUUGUAAAAAUUGGUUCUGAUGAACCUAUUUGAGGUAACAGAAUGGACAUGUGGACAUGGUGGAAGGGGAAGGUGGGACACGUUGGGAGAUGAGGAUUGACACAUACACACUACCACGUGUAAAACAGCUAGCUAGUGGGGAUGCUCUAUAGCACUGGGAGCUCAGCUUGGUGCUCUGAUGGCCUAGAGCAGGUGGGUUAGAGGGAAGUCCAAGAGGAAGGGGAUGUAUGUAUACAUAGAGCUAAUCCACUCGACUGUACAGCAGAAACUAGCAAAAUAUUCUAAAGCAAUUAUAUUCUAACACAAAAGAACACCACCACCAAAAAAAAAAAAAAAAGAAAUGACAGUAUAAAAGAUCUCUGGGACAACAUUAAGCAAAGCAACAUUCAUAUUACAGGGGUUCAGGAAGAAGAGAGAGAAAGAGCCUGAGAAAAUACAUGAAGAGUUGCUAACUGAAAACUUCCCUAACAUGGAAAAAGAAAUACUCAAGUCCAGGUAGUUCAGAGUCCCAUACUGAAUAAAUCCAAGGAGGAACAUGCCAUAACACAUUGCUGGGAGCCAGCGUGAGGAACUCCACCUGUGGCAAAGGUCAUGAGGAAGGAGGCUCAGCAUACGCAAAGGUGGGAUCGAGCCUCAGGAGUCCCCCUGGAAAUUCUCAAGCAUCUACCCCCAAAACCAGAGUCUGCCUACUUUACUGCUUUGUGCUCUCACCCACACCUC
ensembl:lncRNA